AAAAUAAAAAUAAAAAAAAUAAAAUAAAAAAUAAAAAAUAAAAUCAAAAAGAGCAAUCCUCCCUUUGUUUCUCUCCCUUCCUCUCUGUCUUUCUCUUUCU
rnacentral:ribozyme from 13 species